rnacentral:lncRNA from 1 species
CCGCUAGGCGAGCGCAAGUAAUCCACCCGCCUUGGCCUCCCAAAGUGCUGGGAUUACAGGUGUGAGCCACCAUGCCCAGCCAGAAACUGCCACUUUUAAACCAUCAGAUCUCAUUGAGAACUCCCUCACUAUCACGAGAACCGCAUGAGGGAAACCACCCCCAUGAUCUGAUCACCUCCCACCAGGUCCUGCCCUCAACAUGUGGGGAUUACAAUUCAAGAUGAGAUUUGGGUCAGGAAACAGAGCCAAACCAUAUCAAGAGCCUCUGGUAACCACUGUUCUACUCAAUACUUCUAUGAGGUGAACUUCUUUGGAUUCCACAUAUGAUCAAGAUCAUGAGGAAGGAGGAGCAAGUCUUCUUUGUCAUGCUAUUAAGAAAAUACCCAGAGUCACAGCACCAUGAUCUCCUUGUGAAGCAGAACAAGUAAUAUAAAACUGAUCUAAAGAGGCCUCCCCUCUACUCUUAUCUGUCUGGUCGAGUCAUUUGGGUCCAAGUGGGCACCAUUGUGGGAGGGUGGGAGGACUCAUCACUGGGGGCCCAGGCAUCAUUGGCAUGUGGCCUCCUGUGUUAGUUUGUUCUCAUGCUGCAAAUAAAGACAACUUGAGACUGGAUAAUU